rnacentral:rRNA from 1 species
GACAGAGGGUGCAAACGUUGUUCGGAAUUACUGGGCGUAAAGCGCGUGUAGGCGGCUAUGCAAGUCGGGUGUGAAAGCCCCGGGCUCAACCUGGGAAUUGCAUUCGAGACUGCGUAGCUAGGGUGCGGAAGAGGGAAGCGGAAUUUCCGGUGUAGCGGUGAAAUGCGUAGAUAUCGUAAGGAAGACCAGUGGCGAAGGCGGGUCUCUGGACAGUUCCUGACGCUGAGGCACGAAGGUCAGGGGAGCAAACGGG